rnacentral:snoRNA from 1 species
CCCCUCUCAAGGUUGUACCUGGAGAGUUUCCAGUACUCUAGCAGUCUCGACUAUGGGAGGGAGAGUCAAGCAGAGGCAUACCCAUUCCAUUCCUAGCUUGGGCAGUGGCUAGGUAGUGGAAGGCAAUCUGCUACAAGG